AUGGUUCAAAACGUGAAGUGCUGCUAUACCCCCUUGUGGGGAAGGAAGAAGGUGGGAUAUGCCGGACCGAGUUCCUGCCACCAGGUGCCCGCUCCCCACCAGGCCGGCUCAGAAGCAGGCUUCCCUCUGGAGCCAGAAGGAAGCCCGGUGCCAGCCAGCCUUCCCGAAGGACUAAGCCCGCACCAUCCGGCUUCCUCCAGUGGGCGCCUGCAGGACCCAGUCCAAGUUGCAGUGUGCCUAGAUUUCCUCCAAGGACAAAAAUGUGAAUAAAGCAAUAUUUUAGCCAAACAUUUCCGUGUCAAUUAAGAAGAUGGCAAUUCGUUCCAGACUAUAAAUUCUCUUUAACAACUCCCUAAGGUAUUCUUUUAAAUUGUUUUUCAACA
rnacentral:lncRNA from 1 species